rnacentral:pre_miRNA from 1 species
UCCCUGAGACCUUAACUUGUGAUGGUGCUGAAAUAUCCCAGGUUAGGGUAUCGGGGUUA